rnacentral:rRNA from 1 species
GACGAACGCUGGCGGCGUGCCUAAUACAUGCAAGUCGAGCGGACUUAAAAAGCUUGCUUUUUAAGUUAGCGGCGGACGGGUGAGUAACACGUGGGCAACCUGCCUGUAAGACUGGGAUAGCUUCGGGAAACCGGAGCUAAUACCGGAUAAUCCUUUUCUACUCAUGUAGAAAAGCUGAAAGACGGUUUACGCUGUCACUUACAGAUGGGCCCGCGGCGCAUUAGCUAGUUGGUGAGGUAACGGCUCACCAAGGCGACGAUGCGUAGCCGACCUGAGAGGGUGAUCGGCCACACUGGGACUGAGACACGGCCCAGACUCCUACGGGAGGCAGCAGUAGGGAAUCUUCCGCAAUGGACGAAAGUCUGACGGAGCAACGCCGCGUGAGUGAUGAAGGUUUUCGGAUCGUAAAACUCUGUUGUUAGGGAAGAACAAGUACGAGAGUAACUGCUCGUACCUUGACGGUACCUAACCAGAAAGCCACGGCUAACUACGUG